rnacentral:rRNA from 1 species
ACUACCACUCAGGGCCGGAAAGCUCUCCAAACUCGGUCAUUUAGAGGAAGUAAAAGUCGUAACAAGGUCUCCGUUGGUGAACCAGCGGAGGGAUCAUUACCGAGUUUACAACUCCCAAACCCAAUGUGAACGUUACCAAACUGUUGCCUCGGCGGGAUCUCUGCCCCGGGUGCGUCGCAGCCCCGGACCAAGGCGCCCGCCGGAGGACCAACCAAAACUCUUAUUGUAUACCCCCUCGCGGGUUUUUUUAUAAUCUGAGCCUUCUCGGCGCCUCUCGUAGGCGUUUCGAAAAUGAAUCAAAACUUUCAACAACGGAUCUCUUGGUUCUGGCAUCGAUGAAGAACGCAGCGAAAUGCGAUAAGUAAUGUGAAUUGCAGAAUUCAGUGAAUCAUCGAAUCUUUGAACGCACAUUGCGCCCGCCAGUAUUCUGGCGGGCAUGCCUGUCCGAGCGUCAUUUCAACCCUCGAACCCCUCCGGGGGGUCGGCGUUGGGGAUCGGCCCUGCCUUGGCGGUGGCCGUCUCCGAAAUACAGUGGCGGUCUCGCCGCAGCCUCUCCUGCGCAGUAGUUUGCACACUCGCAUCGGGAGCGCGGCGCGUCCACAGCCGUUAAACACCCAACUUCUGAAAUGUUGACCUCGGAUCAGGUAGGAAUACCCGCUGAACUUAAGCAUAUCAAUAAGCGGAGGAAAAGAAACCAACAGGGAUUGCCCCAGUAACGGCGAGUGAAGCGGCAACAGCUCAAAUUUGAAAUCUGGUCCCUAGGGCCCGAGUUGUAAUUUGUAGAGGAUGCUUUUGGUGAGGUGCCGCCCGAGUUCCCUGGAACGGGACGCC